rnacentral:lncRNA from 1 species
CUGGGAGCUGCAGUCCACGAGCACGGGAGGCACUGGGAGCUGUAGGGCAGAGUUCACUGGGGCGUGCUGGGAGCUGUGACCCGCUGUACUGGCUGGGCUGCGGCAGCACUGGGGGGAUGCUGGCGCUGCCCCCGGGGCAGGGACCCCGCCAGGUGGGCUGCACGGAUGUCAUGGUGGACCACACGCGGCAGGGGCUCUUCCUCCGCCUCUUCUACCCGUGCCUGCCCCGGGCAGGGGCCACGGAGCCGCUCUGGGUCCCUCGUCCCGAGUGCUGAGGGGGCCUGGCCGAUGCCACCCUCGGCCACCGCUGGUGCUCCACCCUGCUCGGCAUCGCCAUCGGACCUUGUACUCUUCAACCUGAUCAGAGCUGGCAUCCUGGGGCUUCGUGGUGGCAGCGCUGGAGCACAGCUGGGUACCCAGGUCCCCACCAAGUUCGUGCUGGGGCUGGUGGGACAUCGUGCCCUGGGGGGAAACUUCGGGGUCCCCUUCCCUCCUGCCCACACAGGGACCACUCUGCUGCCACCACCUACUUCUGCUCGGCAGAGGCUGGGACAGAGGAGUGGAUCCCCUUCCAACAGGUGCCCCAGGGGCAGAAGGAGUUUUAUUUCCAAAACAAGCAGGUACCAG